UGGCUCAGUUGGUAGAGUGUUUGCCUCACAUGCACAAGGCCCUGGGUUCAAUCCCUAG
rnacentral:tRNA from 1 species